UCUCAAUUGUAGUCAUUUGCCCCAUCUUCCCUUCCCCUUCAACUCUCUUUAGGUACCCUACUCUCUCUCUGCUUAAUUUUUUCUCUUUAAGUCUAAGAAUUUUGAUAUUUAAAUACAGUAAUUAUCAAAAUUAUUAAUGUAUAUUUUAAAAGAUUUGUACUUUUUGUUUCUUGGGGUCUUUUAUCUGUUGGUGAGAGUAGUAAAGUGCAAAUAUCUCCUAGCUUGAGAGUUAUGAACUCAAAGCUAGGGACUUUGGUGCUUUGCGAAAGAAUUUAUAUCAAUGGGUUGCCAAGGCCUAAACACUUGAACAAGUUUUCCCAUUCUUUGAAGCUCAAACUCUCACCUUCUAACUCCAGUUUUCGCAGACCCCACGUUAAGGUAUGUUUUCACAGGUGAGUUUUUCUUUUACGAAAAUGGCAAUGCUUUUGACUGCCUUUUCUUACCUAGGCAUUAGGCACUAGCUUUUGAGCUGGAAAUUUAAGAGCCAUUGAUGUAUUUUCUUUGCCGGAACGCGUCUCGUGCGAUAGGGAUGUGCCCCCAGGAAAUGUGGGAGAAGAUUGAUAAGGGUGGUUCGUGGGUUCGAUCCAUGUCACCUUUCGACCGCAAGUUGUUAGAUAAAAGAAUGGCUGGUGUAUCCUCAGAAACCCUUGAGCUGUCGAUUGAAGAGGGUUGGUUUUACCAUUUCUGUUCUACCUGUUGUUUUCAGGAGUAACAUCUCAGGUUUUUGGUACUUCAUUUUUAUGUUAGCAAUUUGUUUUGCUAUUGUUCUGCAAUUUUCUUGUAUCGUCUGAUAUUCUUAAUAUUGGGUGUCAUUAUGCUGAGCGUCACAUCCACUUUGAGCAGGUCUUUGGUAUUUUACUACAGCAGUAGCAUGGCGAUUGGGACCAACCUUGUAAUACGUGUGGUUCUUUUUCAGGGAAUGGAGCUCCUGCCAACAGGUCAAAAGAGCUCGCUUAUUUUAUGAUCGUUGCUGUUCAGAUUGGUUUGGGAACUUUUCUCUUUCGUUUCUUGCCUGGAUUGUUGCAUUCAAUACUCAUGGAGAUGGGAAUAAGCAAAGACAUGCACUAUCCUGUAUGUAAUUUGUAAGUAUUAUGAUAUUGGGCUUGUAUCUCUGUUCUAGAGAAGAUUAUGGUUCUCCUUUGCUUUUGUAAACUAGUUAACAUUUAGGCUCUGUGCAUUUUUACAAGUCUGAAGCUGUAAACUUUGUUACAAAAAAAAGCAGUUGUUUCCUGGAUGCGAGCAAGGAUCCUUAUGUUUAUAGAUCACGUAUGUAAGGCUACCGUAAUUCUCUCUGGUGAUAUGUUUCCAUAGAAGCACUCAACUAAGGGUCCUUAUGUUUAUAGAUCACACAAGGUUGAAAUUGCUAUGAUAAUAGUUUAAAUUAAUACCGGAUCCUGUUUACGCUUCGACGGAGCUGAUAUUUCAUCAUGGAACAACUUUAUAGAGUUAUUGCAUCUGUUUGAUGCUCUCAAUCACUACAAAAUGCUUAGCCAAUCUGUGGCCAAUGGUUUUAAUCCAUGGGCCAAACUCCUUCAUGCAGUUGACUGUAGAUUACAUUUUUCAAGCAACUGAAAAAGCUAUUGAACCACACAUUCUUGUUUGUUUCAUUAUCCUCUGCUGACUGUGCUUAAUAAGCUUGUUGAAACUGUCCAGCUUCAUGCCUGUGCUGGCAGACAAGGUUCUGCUCAUAGAUAUUCUUUGUUGGAUACUAUCUUAAUCUUGUUAGUAUCUGUGAAAACUCAAACUUUCACCUGUGAGAACCUAGUUUCUUGUUACUGAUGAACUUCCUUGCCAACCUUGUUAGAGGAGUGUCUAGUUCUUUUCUGGACAUGCCUGUACCAUGCUACUUAGUGAUUACACACUUGUCAACAUCUAGUGGUUACAUCUUUGUCUAUACCAUGUUAGAGGGGUCUCUUUUGAAGUGCGAGUAUGUACCUGCAAUAAGUUAAAUUGACAACAUAUGACCAGUGAAGACAAAAACUGUACCACCUUGCAUCAGACCCAUCUUUUUUCUAUUAUAUGUUGCUCUUACAGGAUCCGGUUGAGGACUCUGUUGUUAACAUGUUUUCUGCUAUCAGUGCGUGUCAGAAUACUUGACAGGAGAUGAUAAUACUUGCCCUGCUUCUGAUGCAAAGAGCAACUUGGUUCCGAUGUUGUUUUCUCUGAAGCGACUCUUAGAAGAAGAAUCUCCGACAGCCUUGAUGCUAGUUCCUCAAAUUCCACAUUUGAUGAUACAUUGAUAGUCCUUCAGCACGUGUAUAGUUCCUCAAAAAUCAAAGCUGUUUUUGAGGUUCAAUCCCAUUGUAAGGUAGAGAGUCCAAUUUCAGGAUUUAAUGGUUCUAAGGGAUCCAGUGCUAUGUCAAUGGCAUAUUCGAACUCGUCAACUGAAGGACGAAUAAAAGCAAUUGUUUUCUCCCAGUGGAUUAGCAUGUCGGAUUUGGUUGAAAUUUCACUGAAUCAGUUUUGCAUCCAGUAUAGGAGGCUUGACGGGACACUGACUCUGAGUUCAAGAAACAGGGUUGUUAAAGAUUUCAACACUGAUCCCAAGGUCACUGUGAUGCUGAUGUCCUUAAAGGCAGGAAACCUUGGUUUGAACAUGGUUGCUGCAUGUCAUGAAAUCCUUCUGGAUCUUUGGUGCAAUCCAACAACUGAGGAUCAGGCUGUUGAUCGAGCUCAUAGAAUUGCACAGGUUCGUACCAUAAAAGACACCCUAGAAGAUAGAAUAUUAGCUCUUCUGGUAUUAUUUCUUUCUACAAGCAUUGAUUCUGUCUUAUGUUUUUGGAUAACUGUUUUAUCUUGUUCUUGCCUUUUGGUUGCUGGAGAGUCUGGAUCAUGUGUUGCUAGGGUUAAGGACAGAAUUUUUUUUCCAACUAAUUAUGAAUCUUUAGUUUCCCAUUUUGUUAUCUCUUCUAAAUAUCAUAAACCGACAACAAUCCAGAAAAGCCAGGAAGUCUGUCUGGGAGUUAGGAGGGUUUCUGUUAAUUUAUCCAUGUUGAGGUUGUCAUGCCUUGCACAGUAUAAAUCCAAGAGAAUUGCCUUCUGCUUUAUUUAUAUCGAGGGAAGUGAUUACAGAUAAACAUCAUCGAGGAUUGAUGAUACUUGCAAUAAAAUAUGAGUACAUCACAUCAAGGUGGAAGGCAAGUAUUGAAACAAAAGGGUUAUUAGUUGAUUAUGGUCCUGCGGAAGCAGCUCUUAGUGUUAAAUUUGGAAACAGCAUUACCAUUUGACAUUUCAUCUUCAAAUGGCUACUCUUUACCUGACAUCCACAUUAAUCUCAUUAAACUUAUCAAGAAGGCAACAAAUUGCACUUUCAGGGUGGUAGAUGGGCAUGACAGUUACACAGGUGCCAGAGGCUGAAGCCUUUGUAAAUGAUAGAGAAUAUCACUUGUAAUCUUGAAGUAAUGUGCAUUUCUCUGUGUUCUUAUAUUCGAAAAUUUGACUAUGGUUUUCAAAGAUAAUUUUCUUUGCUGGUGACCACAAUUUGCAGGAAGAGAGGAGAAAAAUGGUUGCAUCUGCAUUUGGCGAAGAUCAAAGUGGGGGUUCAGCUACUCGUCUUACUGUGGAAGAUCUCAAAUAUCUAUUUAUGUUCUAGGAGAACCCCCCAGUUAAUUCACUUCGCUUCUCGUUGCCAUCUAUUUCUAACUAAGGAAAAGAGUCCAAGAAUUUUGAACAGUUAGGAAGCCAGGAGGAAACCAAUGGCUGCGCUUGUGAACGCCUGCCCAUGUUGUAGCUCAAAUCAAAAUCGUAGGGACUGGCAUGUUUUUGGGCGUUUUCUUUCUUGUUUUACGAGGGCCAUAAUUGGCAUUUAUGUUCUCUCAUCAAGUGCAGAGGACACCGAAGGCAGAAAUAUUUGUAAAUAUUAUUAUAAUUGCCUAUAAUAUAUGAAGCAAUUAGUUUGUGCAAAUGCAUCAAGUGUGUGGAGUGUGUACUAUCUAAAUACAGGUUCACAGACCUGGUCAUGAACUACUGGUUUGAAGGCAGAUGGAAGAAGAGGAAAAUGUUUACAGUGGUGGGAUCUUGGUUGCUUCUCUUGGAGUUUUCAUUCGAAUGGCUUCGUCUAUUGUUUUGGUGAGCUUGUGUUGAUCCAGUUUCAAAUUUGGUUCCUGUCCUUUUUUCGGAUCUGCGCUUUUUGGAUCAUCUCUUAAUUUUUAUUUCUACAUUUGCGUUGUUUUUCAAUGGAUUUUCUCGCCCUUCUCAUUUGCAGAAUUUCCAGCUGAACCAACUACAUUUAUCCAGCCUGACAAACACUAUUGUGAAUAAGCUUCAAAUAACCAUUCCAUGGCAUCCUUUAGUCUUCGAGGUCGUAGUCUUCGAGGUCCGACUGCAAAUAUGAUAGUUAAAAUAGCCAACUUGGUAUUAGUUUUGGAAACAUGAACAACGCUAAACUACAAAUUGCAGAAUGAAUGCCUUUUUU